CUGUCCCUGCCUGUGUGUGUCUACAGGAAAGGGUCUCCGACUCCCUGAUCCAGCGGGUGAAGAUGUCUACAGAUGUCUCUUCGCCAGGACAAGGAACUUAGACUGAGAGCUCAGAGUCUGUAGCUAAACUGUGACUCAUCUGUCAUUUGGUCACAGGCACAGGCUCCACCCUGCCACUGAGUGAGCUGUUAUGCAGGUUCUGGGAAUGAAAACUCAGGCCCUCCGAUUUGCACAAGCACUUCACUUCAGCAAUUUCUCCAAGCCUAACAGCCGCUUCUUUUAACUGCAGCAUGACCUUGACCUGGGGCCCCACGGAUGCUUGUGUGGUGGAUUCUGGGAAGGAUGCCUUCUUUAGGCUGAUAUGGGCACAGCCCUUUUGACAUCUCUCCAUGCCCUGGACUUCAUCUCUGUGAGGAGCUGUGUGCGGAAAAUGGACAGUGCUUAUGCAGCUUGGCCACUGACCAAUAUCUCAGCACCUACCAGUGAGGCCAUCUUCCCUGGGCUCAACCAAGUCCAGUCUGAAAGGGCAGGUCCAGGUCAGUCUCCUCAAGCCUUUCCAUCGUCAGUAGACUUGCCCUAUCAACCCUGUGAUUUACCUAGGGAAGGGACGCCCAGCCGGU